rnacentral:rRNA from 1 species
GACGAACGCUGGCGGCGUGCCUAAUACAUGCAAGUAGAACGCUGAAGGAGGAGCUUGCUUCUCUGGAUGAGUUGCGAACGGGUGAGUAACGCGUAGGUAACCUGCCUGGUAGCGGGGGAUAACUAUUGGAAACGAUAGCUAAUACCGCAUAACAGUAGAUGUUGCAUGACAUUUGCUUAAAAGGUGCAAUUGCAUCACUACCAGAUGGACCUGCGUUGUAUUAGCUAGUUGGUGAGGUAACGGCUCACCAAGGCGACGAUACAUAGCCGACCUGAGAGGGUGAUCGGCCACACUGGGACUGAGACACGGCCCAGACUCCUACGGGAGGCAGCAGUAGGGAAUCUUCGGCAAUGGACGGAAGUCUGACCGAGCAACGCCGCGUGAGUGAAGAAGGUUUUCGGAUCGUAAAGCUCUGUUGUAAGAGAAGAACGAGUGUGAGAGUGGAAAGUUCACACUGUGACGGUAUCUUACCAGAAAGGGACGGCUAACUACGUG